CUGCCCAGCACCGCCAGCCGCUCUCUCCCCUUCUUCUUCUCCUCCUCCUCCCCCCACUAAUGCACAACUGCACAUAAAGGUCGUCUGGUUUGGAUUGAAAUGAAACCAGGCUGCCUGUCUGAUGCCUCUUCCUCCUCCUAAAAACAGCAACAGGGCUUACAAGGAGAAGUAGCCUAGGCAAGACCUUAAAAGAACUCAACCUGGGCCGCAUGUCAGAAACAAGCGGUAGCGGCAGCGGCAGCGGAGCAACGAGAACAAUAACAAACUGGAGGAAGAUAAGGGACAAGUAACAUUAGUGGUGCCAUAGCAACAACUUCAAGCCCAGAUGUCUGCACCAUCACCAAAGAUCUUUUUCUUUCCAAACUAAGCAGCAAACAGUAAAAAUCCUUUUGUUGUCAGACUGAAGACAGACUACAUGUUGAUCCAUCAUUUCUGGUAUUUUCUUUGCUCUCAACCAUCACAGAGGGUGACCUCCCAUGAGCCUUUGCAAACAGAACCAGAGGGCCCCAGGGCACCUCUCUCCUAGUCCCUCUCUCUGCCCCAGUCACACCACAGCAGUAGCAGCACUUACCAACCAAAAUAUCAAAACAACAACAUCUACAGUGACCAGAAAAAGUCAGUGGCUGAAAACAGCAGCAGCAGAGGAGCUGUCGUCAAC